rnacentral:rRNA from 1 species
UUGGUCCUACGGGAGGCAGCAGUGAGGAAUAUUGGUCAAUGGUCGGGAGACUGAACCAGCCACGCCGCGUGAGGGAUGAAGGUACAGAGUAUCGUAAACCUCUUUUGUCAGGGAACAAAGGCGGGGACGCGUCCCCGGAUGAGUGUACCUGAAGAAAAAGCAUCGGCUAACUCCGUGCCAGCAGCCGCGGUAAUAUGGAGGAUGCGAGCGUUAUCCGGAUUUAUUGGGUUUAAAGGGUGCGCAGGCGGUCUGUUAAGUCAGCGGUCAAAGCCCGGGGCUCAACCCCGGCCCUGCGU